CUGGCGGCGUGCUUAACACAUGCAAGUCGAACGAUGAAGCCACUUCGGUGGUGGAUUAGUGGCGAACGGGUGAGUAACACGUGGGCAAUCUGCCCUUCACUCUGGGACAAGCCCUGGAAACGGGGUCUAAUACCGGAUAACACUCUGUCCCGCAUGGGACGGGGUUGAAAGCUCCGGCGGUGAAGGAUGAGCCCGCGGCCUAUCAGCUUGUUGGUGGGGUAAUGGCCUACCAAGGCGACGACGGGUAGCCGGCCUGAGAGGGCGACCGGCCACACUGGGACUGAGACACGGCCCAGACUCCUACGGGAGGCAGCAGUGGGGAAUAUUGCACAAUGGGCGAAAGCCUGAUGCAGCGACGCCGCGUGAGGGAUGACGGCCUUCGGGUUGUAAACCUCUUUCAGCAGGGAAGAAGCGAAAGUGACGGUACCUGCAGAAGAAGCGCCGGCUAACUACGUGCCAGCAGCCGCGGUAAUACGUAGGGCGCAAGCGUUGUCCGGAAUUAUUGGGCGUAAAGAGCUCGUAGGCGGCUUGUCACGUCGGAUGUGAAAGCCCGGGGCUUAACCCCGGGUCUGCAUUCGAUACGGGCUAGCUAGAGUGUGGUAGGGGAGAUCGGAAUUCCUGGUGUAGCGGUGAAAUGCGCA
rnacentral:rRNA from 1 species